rnacentral:rRNA from 1 species
UAGUCCACGCCGUAAACGAUGAAUGCUAGCCGUCGGGUGGCAUGCCAUUCGGUGGUGCAGCUAACGCAUUAAGCAUUCCGCCUGGGGAGUACGGUCGCAAGAUUAAAACUCAAAGGAAUUGACGGGGGGCCCGCACAAGCGGUGGAGCAUGUGGUUUAAUUCGAGGCAACGCGAAGAACCUUACCAGCCCUUGACAUCCCGGUCGCGGAUUCCAGAGAUGGAUUCCUUCAGUUCGGCUGGACCGGUGACAGGUGCUGCAUGGCUGUCGUCAGCUCGUGUCGUGAGAUGUUGGGUUAAGUCCCGCAACGAGCGCAACCCUCGCCGUUAGUUGCCAGCAUUUAGUUGGGCACUCUAACGGGACUGCCAGUGAUAAGCCGGAGGAGGUGGGGGAUGACGUCAAGUCAUCAU